rnacentral:rRNA from 1 species
UACGUAGGGUGCAAGCGUUGUCCGGAAUUAUUGGGCGUAAAGAGCUCGUAGGCGGUUUGUUGCGUCGGCUGUGAAAUCCCGAGGCUCAACCUCGGGUCUGCAGUCGAUACGAGCAAACUAGAGUGUUGCAGGGGAGACUGGAAUUCCUGGUGUAGCGGUGAAAUGCGCAGAUAUCAGGAGGAACACCGGUGGCGAAGGCGGGUCGCUGGACAGUUCCUGACACUGAGGCACGAAGGCCAGGGGAGCAAACGGG